GACGAACGCUGGCGGCGUGCUUAACACAUGCAAGUCGAACGAUGAAACCUAGCUUGCUAGGUCGAUUAGUGGCGAACGGGUGAGUAACACGUGACUAACCUGCCCCUUUCUCUGGGAUAACGCUCCGAAAGGAGUGCUAAUACCGGAUACUCACAUCGAGGCACAUGCCUUGAUGUGGAAAGUUUUUCGGAAAGGGAUGGAGUCGCGGCCUAUCAGCUUGUUGGUGAGGUAACGGCUCACCAAGGCGACGACGGGUAGCCGGCCUGAGAGGGCGACCGGCCACACUGGGACUGAGACACGGCCCAGACUCCUACGGGAGGAAGCAGUGGGGAAUAUUGCACAAUGGGCGCAAGCCUGAUGCAGCGACGCCGCGUGAGGGAUGAAGGUCUUCGGGUUGUAAAGCUCUGUCUUAGCUGACGAUAAUGACGGUAAGCUAGGAGGAAGCCACGGCUAACUACGUGCCAGCCGCCGCCGUAA
rnacentral:rRNA from 1 species